rnacentral:rRNA from 1 species
AUUGAACGCUGGCGGCAGGCCUAACACAUGCAAGUCGAACGAGUGGCGGACGGGUGAGUAAUGUCUGGGAAACUGGCUGAUGGAGGGGGAUAACUACUGGAAAAGGUAGCUCAUACCGCAUACCAUCGGAUGUGCCCAGAUGGGAUGAGCUAGUGGGUGGGGUAACGGCUCACCUAGGCGACGAUACCUAGCUGGUCUGAGAGGAUGACCAGCCACACUGGAACGGAGACCCGGUCCAGCCUCCUACGGGAGGCAGCAGUGGGGAAUAUUGCACAAUGGGCGAAAGCCUGAUGCAGCCAUGCCGCGUGUAUGAAGAAGGCCUUCGGGUUGUAAAGUACUUUCAGCGGGGAGGCGUUACCCGCAGAAGAAGCACCGGCUAACUCCGUGCCAGCAGCCGCGGUAAUAC